rnacentral:rRNA from 1 species
UACGAAGGGGGCUAGCGUUGCUCGGAAUCACUGGGCGUAAAGGGUGCGUAGGCGGGUCUUUAAGUCUGGGGUGAAAUCCUGGAGCUCAACUCCAGAACUGCCUUUGAUACUGAAGAUCUUGAGUUCGGGAGAGGUGAGUGGAACUGCGAGUGUAGAGGUGAAAUUCGUAGAUAUUCGCAAGAACACCAGUGGCGAAGGCGGCUCACUGGCCCGGUACUGACGCUGAUGUGCGAAAGCGUGGGGAGCAAACAGG